ACUCGAGUCUUUGACGCAAGUUGCGCCCGAAGCCAUUAGGUUGAGGGCACGCCUGCCUGGGUGUCACAUUUGGUCACCACUAAUGCAAUUGUGCAUUGAGGUGUAAGUUGGCUUCCUGCGAGAAAGUCCUCGUGGUUGGUUGAAAACUCAGUUAACGGUACAGUCCCCUGUGAUUAAUGGUGGAUGAGAAACUCUCGAGACCAGUCAUUGCUUGUGGUACUCUGGCCGUUAUAAUUGAUUUACUCUACUGUGUCGUUUGUAGAUAACAAUGAGGCACUUACUGAGACCUCAGGUCAGGCGGGGCUACCCGCUGAGUUUAAGCAUAUCAAUAAGCGGAGGAAAAGAAACUAACAAGGAUUCCCUUAGUAACGGCGAGCGAACUGGGAACAGCCCACCAUGAAAAUCGAUCGCCUUUGGCGUUUGAAUUGUAGUAAG
rnacentral:rRNA from 1 species